UGACACAGCCCUGGCCAACAUCUUGACUGCAGCCCCAUGAGAGACCCUGAGCCAGAACCAAGCCAACCAGAGUGACUUGUUUAUAACCAGAAGAUGGUUUAUUCAACAGCCCAGCUGAAGUGUCAGGUGCCAGCCAGUAUCAACUACUAGACACGAGACCACACUUGACAACUAACAACUGACGGGAUGUACACAUUCAGUCCAGAUGACAAGCUCCAUGAGGGUAGGGCCCGUGGCCCUUUGCCUUACUCAGCCCAAAGCACCAUGACUGGAACAAAUACCUGUGAAUGAAUGAACGAACAAAUGAAUGAACUGAAUUUUCAAAUACAGGUUUCUGCAAUGCUUUCUGUUCUGUAUGCACGGGAUGCAGCCAGCAAUGCCAGCAUUUUUGUUCCUCUGAAUUCUUGUCGUUGGACACUGCCAGGAUUUAGGGUGGGGUCAGCCCGGGGCCAUUUUAGCCCCAAUAAAGAUCUGUUUUAUUCAAG